GACGAACGCUGGCGGCGUGCUUAACACAUGCAAGUCGAACGGUGAAGGGACCAGCUUGCUGGUUCUGGAUGAGUGGCGAACGGGUGAGUAACACGUGGGUAACCUGCCCCCUUCUUCUGGAUAACCGCAUGAAAGUGUGGCUAAUACGGGAUAUUCUGGGUCUGUCGCAUGGCGGGCCCGGGAAAGAUAUUGCUUCGGUGGGGGAUGGGCUCGCGGCCUAUCAGCUUGUUGGUGGGGUGAUGGCCUACCAAGGCGGGGACGGGUAGCCGGCCUGAGGGGGGGGACGGUCACACUGGGACUGAGACACGGCCCAGACUCCUACGGGAGGCAGCAGUGGGGAAUAUUGCACAAUGGGCGCAAGCCUGAUGCAGCGACGCCGCGUGAGGGAUGGAGGCCUUCGGGUUGUAAACCUCUUUCGCCAGUGAAGCAGGCCUGCUCCUUGUGGGUGGGUUGACGGUAGCUGGAUAAGAAGCGCCGGCUAACUACGUG
rnacentral:rRNA from 1 species